GUCCCUCGUGGCGCAAUUGGCUAGCGCGUUUGACUGUUAACCGGCAACGGGAAGCAAAUCAGGAGGUUGGUGGUUCAAGCCCACCCGGUACG
rnacentral:tRNA from 1 species